rnacentral:rRNA from 1 species
UACGAAGGGUGCGAGCGUUAAUCGGAAUUACUGGGCGUAAAGCGCGUGUAGGCGGUUGGUUAAGUCAGAUGUGAAAGCCCCGGGCUCAACCUGGGAACGGCAUUUGAUACUGGCUGACUAGAAUGUGGUAGAGGGAGGCGGAAUUCCCGGUGUAGCGGUGAAGUGCGUAGAGAUCGGGAAGAACACCAAUGGCGAAGGCAGCCUCCUGGGCCAACAUUGACGCUGAGACGCGAAAGCGUGGGGAGCGAACAGG